rnacentral:lncRNA from 1 species
UUUUCUUUUUUCUUUGUCAGCUUAGAAUUUUCGUAAUCCAAAUCAUUUCAAUUUAUUGCUGUCGGAAAGACAAAUGCAAAUGUUGUUCUCCAAGAAAAGGAAUUUUGUACCGAGCACUCGUUAUUACCUACCGUGUCCAUUCUAUUCAUUUUCUAAAUAUCUUUUCUCAAGUAAACUAGUUUGACUUGGUAAUCUAGAACCCAUUUGAAAUGUCCUGUAACCUUCAGAAAUCAUGCGCUGUGUAGUAUCAUCGCUUGUAUCUUGAUGCACAAAAUCUAGUUCAAGAUUUUCUACAUCAGUAGCUUCUUUAUGAGUUUUAGUAUUUAUGUACCUCCCAACAGACACCAUCAACUUUGGAAAUAUUUUUCAUUCUAAGUGAAAGUUAUUUGCUUUGAAAGCACCAUCACCAGAUGGUUUGAUUUGGCUGUUAAUUCUCAUUAUUCCAUAUGCAUGGCAUUAUUGGCAUACGUUGGCAGGGUACCUGGUGACUUCCAUCGAUGAUAUUUGCAUCUCAUUAAAGAGGAUCAUUUUUGAGAAAGAAGUAACUGGUAGUAAUCUUGGUGGGAACAAGAGAUUGCUCAUAGCCUUGUUGGAACCUGCUAUAGAGUGGAUUAUGAAAGUCAUGUUAAGGGCUGAGAAACAGGUAUUGAAUGACUCUUUGGUUGUUUUACUCUUAUCAGUUUUUGGAGCUAUUUUUAUAAAUUGAUUGAUAUACUUAGAUAUGCAAGUUUUGAAAAAAAAAAAAACUAGCUCGACUAAUGCAGUUUACAUGUUGGAUGCAGAAUGCCCAGGACAUUCUUAUCAAAUUCGGAUUAAGCAAAAAUACUUCCCAGUCAAAUGAGAUUAUUCCAUGUUUGUCCGUAGUACUUCAUUAUCUUCUGAAGGAGCUUCCAGGGACUAUUAUUCUCAUAAAUGCCUUAGAGCUUUUAGAGGUUAUUGAAUGCAGUAGCGAUAUCUCAUUUGAACAGGUAUGCUUUUAGUAAAAUCGAUUUUCGACGGAAUGAAAAGGACAUAUAUGGUAGAAUCGUAACCAUAGAAUACGACCCUAAUCAAAAUGCAUACAUUUGUCUCAUACACUAUGGGGAUGGUGAGAAGAGAUAUAUUUUACAUCCCAGAGGGGCUAUAAUUGGAGAUACCAUUGUUCUGGCAGUCAGUCUGUUAUAAUAAAUGUGGUUCCUUCAUGGCCAGCAUUAACUGUCGUUUGCAGCAUUUGAAUUUUAGGUUGCUUGGCCUCAAACUCAGUGAAAUCCACCUCUCUGUCAACCACUCAGACAUUAUUGUGAAGAAAAUUCUCCAGGUAUUAACGCCACAUCUCCGAAUCUCUCCAAAUCUCUAUAUACUAUAAACCAAUUUGCGCAUGCGCGUGAAACAAACGACAUCUGUGGAAUGUUUCGUCAUUUUGUAUAGUACUGAAGAUUGCAUGUACAGAAUGGUGUUUUCAAUUCGGUUGUGUUUGGACAUAUAUUGGUUCAAGAUGUUGUAUUAUUCGGAUGUUUUUUAGUUAUUGGUGUUGAUGUGAAGUUGAUUAGAGAAAGCUUAUGAAUUCUGGAAGUUAUUCUAUUUGUGGCAGUGACAAGAUAAUGUUUAAGUCGAAAUACUUCGAGAAUUUUCAUUCCCAAAAAAUAACCUGGAAGAAUCACUUACAUGCACUAUGCUUUAACUUUUGCUUUGUGAAUAUUUCAGUAAGCAUAUGUGUAUAUACGAAUCUACAUUUUACAAAAAGCAUCAGGAAGAUUCUAAUAAUGUGAAUGCCUUAACAUUACCUUUGUAACAUCAUAAAAACCCAUCGGCAUUCCCUUUGAAUGGCUCGCUUUAAUACCUUAUAAUUGUAGUUUGAAUGGCUGGUGUAACCAUCACUCUCACGCAUACAUAUGUUCUAAUACUUGCAUAUCGUUUUUCUUAUGCCUUGUCAACAUUCUAAAAUAUAUUCAAGUCAAGAAAGUUCAUCAUCAGAAUAACUCUCUUGGAGAUUACACGUCAUCUGGGUCAAUUUCAUAUUUUAGUUUAAUGUUAUGGCAAAACUACUUCCGUAUUUAAUGAUGCUCUUUUUUACUGUCUACAAAAGUUCAUAUUUUGUGCAGUCAUUACUGAAUGUUUUACAUGUUAGCCUUUAUUAUUUAUUUUUAGGAUUUAUGUGACACUGUCAAGGCACAGUGUCUAUGUCGGUUUUGUUAUUUUGGCAAUUUAAAUGUCAUAGUCACUAGUUGGCUGAUUAAUACAAUGUACGGUUGCCUUUAUGUAGCAUAAUAUUUCCCUUUGAUGGCUGUUAGGUGUUAACUGUAUCAUAGGAAACAUUUGCAGGUUGUUUCUCAGUAUGAUGGUCUCGCUGAAUAUUUGAUCGUGUUGGAUGCUUACUUUGACAUUAUCCUUCAAAAUACAGUGGUAUUGCGAAUUAUUUUAAAAUUAUUUCAUUUUAAUUCUUUAUUCCUUAUCAAUUAAGGUUUUUACUUUUCGUUUUUGCAAGAGUUCAAGGAGUAUUAUUUAUUUAAAUGUCACCUACUCCUUAGUGUAGUCCAAGAUUGAUUAUAUUGUUGUUGGGGUAUCCUAUUAUCACCUUGAAAACCUAUGCGGAUAUGACCACAUCACUAAAACGUGUAGAGGUUCACGUAGGUCAUGGGUCUAAAUGUUUUAUUAAAUUUCCGCUCAUGGUUCUGUGUCUUGGGCGAAUCAAGAUGCCUUUAAUCAAUCUGAAGAUUUUGGUGUCUGUAUAUGGAUAGCAUUAAAGGUGAACAAGAGAAUGAAGUAAAUUGAAAAGUUUACAUGAAGAUGGAGUACAAUCCUUGACCUUAUGAAAUCCGUUGUGCUUCUCUGGUCCAGAAUGCUUUUGCACGUGGUUGUAUACUCUUCACUAUGAUUUUAUUGGUGAAAUUUAUUUACUUCAGCUUAGUUAGUCACCUCUUAGUUUAUGUGUUUAUGGACAGAACUUCUGAUAGAUAUUCGAUGUUUAUUUAUAGUCAUUUAUGAACAAAUGUCUCAGGAUAUGUUUUAAAUAAUUCAUGUUUAUUUCCAUCUGUUCCUUAAAAAAGAUCAUAGCAGUCAUCCUUAAUGUGGUCAGAAGGAUAUAAGAGAAAAAAACUGACUGCGCCUAACUAUUGGCCAGUAGUUGCUAUUGUCUUUUUCCUUUUGUUAAAGUUUCCAUGACAAUGCCUAUUGGUUUAAUGUUAUUUUCCUUUAAACCGAUGUUAAGUAAGUAUUCACUAUCGUUUUCCAUUAAUUAUCCCUUUGCUAUUUCAGGAUAGUUCUGUCUCUUUUGCUUUAGAUGGUGUCGUGAAGAGAGCGGAAAAUCGAAGUUUAACAGGGAAUGAAAUGGACAGUUUACUCUCUAUUCUCGUAAAGUUCAUCCACAACUUCAGUGUUUUGGAAGAUGUGCUUGAUCUGGUAUGUGAUGCUAGAUGAAGUGCAUUCAUAUUUUCAAUUUUUUAUGUGCUCCAUUUUUCUGAAAGGCACGUAUUACCAUUCAUUUUUCUGUACGUCAGCGAAACAUUAGAGAAAAGAAGUGUCUGCUGAUUUUAGUGUGAUCUGAAGUGAGCAACUUAUGUCUUUGGAUCUUAUUAUCACAUGUAGAUUCCACAAUCUAUAAUUUUUGAGCAUUGCUUUUGAGAAACCUGAUCGAGUUGGUUUCCUGUGUCAUUUCUUGUCCGGAUUUAAAACUGUUCAUUUUCUGUCGUCAAACAUUGAUUGUGCUUAGACGAAGUCUCUGCUUUUGUUGCCAUUUUUCUAUCAUCGUCCUGAAAUGGCAAGGGUACUCUGUCUUUAACGAGUUUCCAAAGUUUGCAUUCUGUGUACAACCUUUUGACCCUGAUCGUGCCUCAAAAUCUUCAGUGACAUGACGACUUGAUUGAGGUUUGGGACAGUAUGGCCGGAGUCUCAUUUGAGCGAGGUGAGGAUAAACCCAUGAGGUUGCUGAGAUUAAUCAGAAAAGAUCUACAUUAGAUGACGAUGAGAAUGCUGGCUACCCAUGCCAUAUCUAAAGACCAGGUGGUUGAGAUGGUUGCUGCAGAUGAACCCUACAGUAGAGGAUAAUAGUUGUGAUGUAGAGGUAUGGCUUUGACAAAGCCCUAGAUGUUGAAGGCAUGUAGCUGAAGAAAUGACUGAUCAGUCAUGAUACAAAAUAGUAAAAGAAUACGGCAUGGGGAGGACGGCUCACCAGCGGUGACAGAAUUGUAGAGGAAUGAGAUGGGCAAGAAAGACAGGGCGGUGGCCACAUUUAUAGGGAUGGUUCUGAUAUCAAUGGAAGAUAUCCCUCAAUGAAUGACAAUAUAAUGAUCAUCCUCAAAGAAGGGACCAUUCACCAAGUGGCCGUGUAUCCUUUAAGAUGGCUCCAACAACAGAAGAAGAUAUAACAGCUGUUGUGGUUCUGUGCGGCUAUGAUUAUAGCCUUUGCAGAUUCUGCCAUGUGUGAUAGUGAAAGAGAGGAGCACCGAGGAGAAUUUCUGGAGGAAUCACAGGCCAGAAAACUGGUGACGAAACCGCUAUCCAAAGACUGCUCUAAGACUGUUAGUUAUAGAAAUUAAGGAAUUUUUUUAUUUAUGAAUUACCUUUCUCCUCUAUAAAACAGAAACGAGACUGUUCUACUAGGGCUCUUAUCAGAGAUCUAUUAGCCUGUUCUAUCUCAAAUCAAGCUGAAAUUAUGUCGUUAAUUUAAUUUUCUCACCAUAAGAGGGUUAGAGUCAUUUUUUGUUCACUAUUUUUGCUUCCAUCAAUUAAUCGUAAUAAGUUUCUUUAUAUAUGCCAAUAAAGGGUGAAAUAUUCUUUAUGGGCAAUUAGUUUUGGUCUAUUGCCAUGAUUAACACCUUCACAUAAUCAUUUUUUUUCUUUCCAGAAACAUUUCAUUCAGAUUUUCGAUUUACUGAAUGGUGAUCCACGUAUUACAGCGAGUAGGCAUAUCCUUGGUAAGGUAACAAGGUACUUCGUUCUGCCUUUUUGCACUUAUCUGUGCUUAUAUUCAGUGGUGCAAGGCAUAGAGAACAUUUCAUGAUUUUCUUCUUGUAGCUCUGGUAUAAAAUCAAUUUUCUUAUAAUCCAUACAAAUUAGUUCAUGGGUAUGGAUAAAAUCAAAUUGUAGGUUAAUAAUUUUUCUUCCCUGGUCUGUGUUAAUGAAAUAGCUGUUUAUUGACAAUGCUGCUGUUAUUAUAGUGACACAUUGAUUAGGAGCAGUUAAACUUGUGCCUAAAAUAUUUGGUUUCACUCCACUCAUAGAAAAUUACUUUUAAACUAAAUGGAAAUUUUUUGGAUAUUAGAGUGUUAUGUUUUGUUCCUAGGUUAUGCAUGCCUCAUUUGUAUUCCUCACUACACAAGAUAAUCAGACGGAUACGAAGGGGUACGCUAGGAUAGUUCUUCGUUAAUUGAGAGAACUCAAACACGUUGCUGAAAUUCAAACACGUUGCCGAUCGGUUUUACAAUAGAAGUCCUGAAUUUUUAAUAAUUUUUAUUUUACGAUGUCAAAUUAUUAAGUAAUUCGUUCUAAUCGGAAAUAUGUAUUUAAGAUUUAAAUAAUAGGGAAACUAGUUAGAGCGCAACAGGGAGGGGGGGUGUAUAAUCUCCACCUUCGAUGCGUUGGUUCGACUCUUGCUAUCCCCUUUCUCUGAAGGGGAAAAGUAGAACCUUAACUUGGAGAAUAUGGAAACAUUGCGCCUCCCAGGUUGUGUUCAUCAUCUUAAUUACGAGUAAUGACACCGGGAUAUUUUCUGUCAUUUCUAGUGACAGGAUGUUAAUACCGUGUUAAUACCAUAAAAUGACAAUGAUGGCUGACAAAUAACUUUUUAACGUAUGCUGCAAUACUAUUUUACAUAUAGUUCCUUGGAGUAAGUGGUCUUCUUGCUCAUUCUUUGAACAGGGAUGUUUCUAUCCAUGAUCCCAGAACCAUACAAUUUCUUUUUGAAGCCUCUAGGACCCUUCAUGAUGGUAUUAACUUUUCAAGUUCGAAGGAUGGCAAUCAUAUGAUAGCUGGGCUCUUAUGUCGUUUUGUUCAGAUGGUAACAUUCAAUCACGUUCAUUCUUUUCUUUGUGUGAGCAUGGAAUUUGAAGGCCUGUUUAUUGUAGGUUGACUUUGGUGAUGAAAUGGAGAGCCAUUUGCAAUUCUUGGUUGAGUGUCGUGUUGCCUUCAGAAACAUCAACGAGUUAAAGGUUUGCACAGUGUGAAAAUGAAGUCUACUAAUUCAGCGUCAAUACCUAUGUUUAAACUCAAGUCAGUUCAAAAUUUCCUUUUUAUUUUUAUUUUUCAGGAGUAUUUCAUUCACUCAAGCAAUGCUUUGGCAACCAAAGCGAUUAAAAAUGUGGAUAAGUUUCUAGGCUUCAUUAGAGCUUGUAUUGCAUUCAGUGAAGUUACAAUACCAUCUAUUUUGGACACAUCGUGCUGUCUGAGUCUAUAUCUCGAAACUGCUGAGGUUUAUCUCCCUAGUUCUCACGUACACUUGUUGUAUAAGUAAAAAAUAAUCUGAUUUUUUUUCCCUGUUACUAUAGGUUGCGUUGUCAGGUGGUCUGAUUUCUCACGUUGAUGGACUCGUUGAAGCAGCAAUCAACUGUUUGGAAAGCACCAGCUUGAAUAUAGGUUAUUUUAUUUAGUUUUAUUGUAUGAUUAAUAAAGUUCUUUAUUUAUCACGUGUGAGACUAUACAGUAGACUAACGAUACUUUUGAUGAGUAUUAUUAAAAUGUAGGCUUUCUAAGCGUGUUUUAUGCUUUGUUUAUAGAAAAAAAAAGUAGCCUGAAGAUGAGAAUAGGUCUGGCAAAGUUUUAAUCUGAUGCUUCAUGGCCAUGGAAUACUGUUUCUUACUCUCUUUUUCUCUCAUUGGUGUCUCCAGAUAGUUAAAUUCACCUCUUUUUUUUUUUCCUAAUUUCAGGCGCUAAUGCACCUGCUGAUGUGGACAGGAUUCUGUCUUCACUACUCAAGUUAUGCAGCACCUUAGUUAUGGUUCCAUGUAAGUUCAGUACACCCUCUUGGGCAUUUGAUGGAUGCUAAUUGCAAGUAGUUAUUGAUAUAGGAGAUUAGUACCUUGCUUAUGUUCAACAUGAAGCACCACCUUGAUAUUUGUCUGUUUAUUUUUUUAAUUUUGUCAAUGGAUGUCAUGCUUUAUACUGUGGAUGAGAAGGCAAAGAACUUUAAAUUCAACCAAGGAUGGAUUGUGAAUCAGCAUGUUCCUUGGCUAACUAAAGUGAAUUUGAACAUUUGGUUUCAAGCUGAAUAAUCGCUUCUCUCCUCAUACCCUUGUGGGUGUUCUGCACCGGACCGCCUCUAUUUCUUCUUAGAUCUUUCUUUCUUCGUUGAAGGCACUCAUGGAGAAGGAGCUUCUCGAAUAGCCCGGACCUUAUUUUCUGUUGUUGAUUCUCGGUCAUGGUAAGCGCUUCCAAAUCCAGUGGUUGCCCCCCAUUAAAGUUGCUAGUUUCUGACCCAUGAGCUGCCAUAUCAGGGCGACGCUGGUGGUGAGAGUAAAGAUGCUGUGCGCAAUCAUCCAUCUGUUGGCAACCCUUUCGCAGAAGGAGCUUCCAUACCGACCAAGUAAUGGAGAGGUAAGAUUCCCUCAUAUACCUGAAGGAUGUAUGUAGGAACAGGGCCCCAUGCCUCACUCAUGCACUAGGCCCAUGCCCGAAGAUGGCUGAUGCAAGUUCAGGCUAAGCUCUCUCUCUCUCUCUCUCUCUCUCUCCUGAUGUGGUUCUGAAGCUCAAGUUUUGAGAUGACCAACCUUCACCGAGUUGCGAGCUAGCUCAGCAUCGUUUCAUUUAAUUACUGCACUCUGCUGCCUGUCUAAUAUGCACAGGCUGUGGGAAAUGACCUGCUCUUCCUCGGGGAUGCAUCAUACAAGGAGGAUCUGGCAUCGACCUCUGAUCUUGCGGCUCGAGACCUGGUGGAGAGGAUCGAGAGAGAGCCCAGCACGGUAAAAUCAAAAUCCGCUCUCUGCCCGUCUCUUCACCGCUGUCACUGUCUCCGUUCCAUGCCUUCCUGACGAAUUUUCUCCCCCCUCCCCCCAUCAAGGGUAUGCUCGGAAAACUGGCCCUCGAUGCAUGCAAUUGCCUGGCGAUAUCCUUCGAAGUAGGUCCCAUUUUUCGUAUCCCAUAGCAUCAGUAUCUUGAAGCGCGCGUCAUGCAGCCAGCUUGUCGUGCAGGCCAGCGAGGGGCUCUCGUCGAUGUGCUCCCGGCUGAUGAAGGUGGCUCGACCAUGUCUUCACCCCCAGGACAAGUACCUGCAGUCUACAAUAGCUUUCCUCAACGGUCGUCUUCCCGGGUCUACAAUGGGCGAGACUCUGUGAGAGAGCCAGCUUCAGGCUGGCUGUUGCUUCUCUCUUUUUUCGAGUCGGCAGAGAUUCUAUCGAGCAAGCGAUUCAUUUUUGUGAUUGAUGAUGUUCUAACUCUGCGCGGCUGCUGCUGUUGCUGCUGUUGCUGCCGCUGCUGCUGCUGCUGCUGCGGGGGUGGUUUCCAGCCAGCUACAGCCAGCCGUCUUCUUCACCCCGGCCCUCUCCAUGCUCUCCUUCAGCCGGGCGGCGGAGCCCCACAUCCCCACGCCGGCGUAGGUGUUCCACAGGACCGCGUACCUUCCGGCGUGCCCCGGCUGCAGCGCGAGCAGCCGCGCCCCGCCACCGCCGCCAGCGCGGCGUUCCCGUGCAGGCGGCAGGCUCCCAGCAGUGCCCCCCACACGGAGGCGUCCGCCGCGAAGGGCAUCCCCUCUAUGAACUCCGCCGCCUCGUCCAGCAGCCCCGCCCGCCCCAGAAGGUCCACCACACAGCCGCAGUGCUCCAUCGCCGGCGCGAUCCCGUGGUCGCGCGACAUCGACGCGAACAGCGCCAUGCCCGCGCCGACCAGGCGCGCACGCGCGCAGGCCGUCAGCACGGCGACGAAGGUAACCCCAUUGGGCCGCACCCCCUGCGCCGCCAUCGCGUCGAAGAGCCCCAGCGCUCGGGUCUCCUCCCCGUUGCAGGCCAGCGCCGAGACCAUCGCGUUCCAGGUGCAGACCUCCCUCUCCGCCACCGCCUCGAACACGCUGGCGGCGCAGCGGACCCGCCCGCGCUUCCCGUACAUGUCCACGAGAGCCGUGCCGAGGAAGGCGGUCAGCCGGACUCCGCGCCGGAGGAUGUAGCCGUGGAGCUGCUUCCCCGCUAUGAGGGGAAGCAGCCGAGAGCUGGCGCAUGCCGAGAGCGCGCAGACCAGCGUGGCCUCGUUGGGUCUCGGUGGUGGCGCCACUCCGGCUCCGCCCGCCGCCAUCUCCCGGAACAACCGGAUUGCCGCCUCGGGGAGCCCGUUCACCAGAAACCCGUUGAUCAGCGUCGUCCAGGAGACCACGUCCCGGAGGCGCACGCGGUCGAAGAUCCUCUUGGCGGAGCCGACGUCUCCGUUCUUGCAGAGCGAGUCCAGCAUGGCGUUGCAGGAGGCGACAUCCGGGCGGGGGUUCUCGUCGAACACCUUCCGGGCGGCGGUGACGUCCCCCGACUGCGCGUAGAGCUUCACCAUGCCGCUGUUGACGAAGUUGUCGGCCACGAGUCCGCGGCGAACGAGCUGGGCGUGGAGGACUCUGCCGUUGGAAACUCCCGGUGACGAGGUGAUCGACUUGACGAGGGGCGGGAAGGUGUAGACGUUGGGGUGGGUCUGCUGGGCGAGCAUCUGGGUGAACAGGCGGAGGGCGGUGCCGCCGCCGUCGGGCCGUCCCUCCCCGAGGAGCGACCCAGCGAUCAAGAUGUUGUACACGAACACGGGCACCCCUCCGUCUCCCCCAUCCGGCAACGGCGACGGAUGGAAGAAGAAGCCGGUGGUGACGAGGAGCGCGUGAACUUGGUCGAGCUGCGCCGGACGCUUCCGGUACUUGUAGAGGAGCCGCGCCAAAGCCUUGAGCGACGUCGACAUGCAGCCCCGCCGCCCCUCAGUCCGACACAGCACGAGGCCAUGAGAAGCCCAGGCGGCGCCGCCGUCCCAGUGGAAGACCCGGAGAGUAACGAGUCAGCCCGGGUUCUAUUCGGCGUAAACGGGCUGCUAGUUCCACGAGCCCACUAUGGGCAAAGCUGCAGCACCGGACCCCUUCCUCCGCUCUCCAAACCCCAUCAUAUGAAUAAUAAUAAUAAUAAUAAUAAUCGUAGUAGCAAACUUGACACGUUCAUGAAAAUAUGUCGACCCACGAUGGGAAAGCGGAAAGGUUGCAUUUUUUUUCAGCGUGUGGUGGUGCGAAAGUGUUAUUUUUAUCAAGAUACGGAUUCCGCACUGGGCACUCCGAAUUAAAAUAUUUCCCUUUUCAUCGCCCAGAGCUUUCGAGUGAUCUGGCGGCUCAUGUAGAACAUUGAUGGGGGAGAGAGGGGGCGGGCGCGGUCUGUCGCUGGAGCCCAGCGGCCGGCGGGGCGCGGAUCGGCCUGAGGUGGACUCGCGAACCACCACCCCGCCGGGCGGACCCCCCUGGCUCGGGAUCCCUCUCCGGAAAGAGGCCAUCCGACGGUGCACUCUUGGCCCGCUCAUCACCAUUUAUUUAAUGGCUUAGCCUUCUGGCCUUUUAGUCAGAGGCCCGCGUCGGUGCGUCGUCCACCCGGAAGGCGGCCCCAAGAAUUUUAUAUCUGUUCCGACCCUUCGGGACCGAACAAGAAAAAACUUAAUGCCCGAUAAAUAUCACGCUCAGAAACGAAAUUUAGGGGGCGAAAGGCUCAUUAUCUUUUAACAUAUGAGAUUAGGAAGUGGAAGGGGAAGCCCUCCCUCCUCAUGGCACAAAAUUUUUCAAAUAUUUUCUGCUGAAAAUUAGAUAAUUCGGAGGGGGGGUGAUAAACGAAAUAAGUGCUCGAUUGAAUGGGUGGUUGAUUGCUCGUGUUUUUUUCGACAUGGUGCUUCUUUUUAUGAUUAUAUAGCUGGAGACAUCUCACGUACGGUCGGUGCCCGUCGAUCUACGUGGUCACCCUGUCAUCUCGUCAAAGGAAAGUCAACCCAUCUCUCUCUCUAUCUCUAUCUCUAUCUCUGUCUCUCUAUCUAUCUUUCGCAGAAUACGGAGAGGAAGAGGCAGGAAAGGAAGAUACGGAGAUUCCUCUCCGGGAAGGGCACGUUUAUUUUGGAAGGUACGAGUCUUCGGCGGGUGAGGCGUGCCUUUCUCGGCGGGGGAGCUUCUUCGUCCACGGCCGGGGAGGUGGGGGGCGGUCUGCGGCGAUGAGAGUGACGGGCGGGGGUUCGCUCGUCAACAAACAUAUGGAAAGCACGCGAGGGACCGCGGGGGGAGCGUCGGUGAAGACGACGGCUUCUCGUAAACUGCUUCAUCUCUAUAAUGGAUGUAGAUUUUGCAACGGAGUUUAUAUGGCAACUCUUUCUUCUUUUAUCGCCGAAAGAGACAGACGGGGAGCUAGAGAGACGUGGGUUUUGAUUCACAUGGCGAUCUUUUUUAAUGGGUUCAAGGCAAACCACCCUCUCUCUCUCUCUCUCUCUCUCNNNNNNNNNNNNNNNNNNNNNNNNNNNNNNNNNNNNNNNNNNNNNNNNNNNNNNNNNNNNNNNNNNNNNNNNNNNNNNNNNNNNNNNNNNNNNNNNNNNNNNNNNNNNNNNNNNNNNNNNNNNNNNNNNNNNNNNNNNNNNNNNNNNNNNNNNNNNNNNNNNNNNNNNNNNNNNNNNNNNNNNNNNNNNNNNNNNNNNNNNNNNNNNNNNNNNNNNNNNNNNNNNNNNNNNNNNNNNNNNNNNNNNNNNNNNNNNNNNNNNNNNNNNNNNNNNNNNNNNNNNNNNNNNNNNNNNNNNNNNNNNNNNNNNNNNNNNNNNNNNNNNNNNNNNNNNNNNNNNNNNNNNNNNNNNNNNNNNNNNNNNNNNNNNNNNNNNNNNNNNNNNNNNNNNNNNNNNNNNNNNNNNNNNNNNNNNNNNNNNNNNNNNNNNNNNNNNNNNNNNNNNNNNNNNNNNNNNNNNNNNNNNNNNNNNNNNNNNNNNNNNNNNNNNNNNNNNNNNNNNNNNNNNNNNNNNNNNNNNNNNNNNNNNNNNNNNNNNNNNNNNNNNNNNNNNNNNNNNNNNACCUCCUCUCUCUCUCUCUCUCUCUCUCUCUCUCUCUCUCUCAAAAAUACAGGAUGGUGGAGGUGAGAUGGUCACCAUGCAGGAGGAGGAGUGGCCAGGGUGUCUACGAAUAGGCUCGAUGAGGAUCGGCGAACCGAUCGACGGGGUGGGGGGAACUGUUGCGGUGUCGCCGUCACGCCAAACAGAAGUGGCCGCGGAUUUGUCUGCUCGGACUUCGCCAUCUCCCCCCCGCAACCUCACACCGACGAGGAAACAAGAAGAAGAAGAAUAAGGAGAGCGAGUGAAGACAGAGACACAAAAUUACGUGAAUGUUUGGUGUGCCCCCCCCUCCUCUCUCUCUCUCUCUCCCUCCCUCCCUCCCUCCCUCCCUCCCUCCCUCUCCGUCUCAGAGCCUUCAAAAGCUGAAGGCGGGGAGGGUAGGACGACUGGGACUCCCCUGCUGAGCGCAGACAGCAGAACCCCUGCACCCUCUCGUGCUCCGCCUUGAGCAGGUAGGGUUCCCAAGCGUGGCGUGCCGGAGGUUAUGGGAGAGGCACGGUGGGCUUCUGCAAUGAUGACGAAGAGUUCGACGAGGCUGGCCGCCUGGAUCCUGCUCCUGCCGCUGGUCUACGCCGCGCUGCUCAACCUCAGCGUCUCGCCGCCGCACACCUGUACGUUACCAUCAAAACUCCGUCUUCCUCCGUUCUCUUCGCUCUUGCACAAUGAAUGAACUUAACUGAGACGUCGCCGUUUUCCCCUGCCGACGCGAAGGGAAGCUCCAGCUGCCGCCUUGGGUGCCGUUCAGCUUCUGGGCCAAAGACAGUGACCUGGAGCACGCGAAGAUGGCCAUGGCGAGGCUGCUGCCAGGUCUCCUCCUCCGCCAUUGAUACCAUCACGUAGUCAUCAUAGACCAGGACGAAGAGCGCAAGCAUGCAGAUUGAUGCAGAACCCUAAAUGGGCGGGUUCGCAUCCUCCUCAUGGCCCCCUCUCCUCCGAUGGUCGGGCCGUCCCUCCGGCGGCGGACGCCGGAAAGGCGGCCGCCGUUGGGCCUCUUCUUCGCACGUCCCCAUCGAAACCGACCGACCGAGCGAGCACUGACCAGAAAGAAUUCCCCACCUGGAGAGGAGGGCGACCGAGCCACCCGUUUCUUGCCUUCUCUCUCUAGGUCUAAAAGUAGAGAGAUUUUAAGGGGAAGCGGGCACGAGGUCUACGUGAGAAGAAAUGAGAGCGGGCCCGCCAAGUGUCUGCAUGACGAUGAGUUUGACUGCGACCUGAAAUCUUCCGACAGGACCCGCGCGCAGGGAGCUGAGCGAGAACCGUGUGGCCUGCGUCUCCGACCCCAGAUCCGACUUCUGCGUCACGACCGGCGGCGUUCGGAUCGCCGCCGGUCCCUCCCGCUCCCCCACCGUCUACCUCGCCGGAGGCCAGCAGCUCGCCGGCGGCCGGCGAACACUCCAGCCUUACCCGAGGAAGACCGACAAGACGGCGAUGUCGCGCACGGCGCCGGUCGAGAUCAUUGGCGGCGAGGCGGCGACGGUGCCGCCGCCCUGCGACGUGACCCACACCGCCCCCGCUGUCGUCUUCUCCACCGGCGGCUUCGCCGGCAACUUUUUCCACGACGUGAGCGAGGUGCUCAUCCCCCUGUUCCUCACCGCCGGGCAGCUACGCCACGUCCAACUCGUCGCCAGCGACUACGAAUCCUUCUGGGUGACAAGGUACCGCUGGAUCCUCGACUAUCUCGCCGGCGGCCCAGAGCAGGCGGGCGUCGUGGCAGCGGCCUCGCCGUCGUCCCCCGUCGAGCCCAUGGUGCACUGCUUCCCCGCGGCGGUGGUGGGCCUCAAGUACCACGGCCACCUCGCCUGCAACGCCACCGCGCCACCGGGCGGCGUCACCAUCUACGACUUCCGCCGCUUCCUCCGGGAGGCGCUGGCCCUCUCUCCCCCUCCUCCCAAUUCGCCGCCGCCGCCGGCCGAGGACCAGCGGCGGCCGCUGCUGGUGCUCCUCUCGCGGAGUACGUCGAGGGCGCUGCUGAACGAGGCAGCAGUGGCGGAGCUGGCGAGGGAGGUGGGGUUCCGCGUGGAGGUGGCGGCGCCGGAGGCCAUGGGCCGGCCGGAGGCGUUCUCCCGGGUGGUGGCGGGGGCGGCGGUGCUGGCGGGGGUGCACGGGGCGGGGCUGACGAACAUGGUGUUCCUGCGGGAGGGGGCAGUGGUGCUGCAGGUGGUGCCGUGGGGGCUGGACUGGUCGGCCAUGGCGUACUUCCGCGAGCCGGCGCAGGCGAUGGGGCUGCAGUACGUGGAGUACAAGGUGGCGGUGGAGGAGAGCACCCUCUCCGACGAGUACCCGCUGGACCACCCCGUGCUGACCGAUCCCUGGGCCAUCCACCGCCUCGGCUACAACGUCAGCGGCCCCAUCUACACCGACGGCCAGAAGGUCCGCCUGAACCUCACCAGGUUCAGGGAGUCCCUCCUCGAGGCCCUGCGGCGGCUCCCCCGCCCGGCUUGAAACUGCAAGGGGCGGAAGACGAACGAAGAAGACCAUGUUUUCCUUAUCGUAGGAGCUCAGUUAGUAAGGACCAGUUCGCUCAUCCUGCGGCGGCGGCGGCGGCGGCGGCGGCGGAGGGCUUCGGAGGAGGAAGGGAGAUCUCGAGCUCGUCGAGGGAGGGGGUGCCGCGGAUGGUGAGGCUGUGCUCGUUGGCGAGGUGGAGCAGGCAGAUGAAGGAGAGGUGUGGGGAGACGUCCUUGGCGUAGGCGCCGGCGCAGUUCUCCGAGAAGCAUCCCAGCACCUGCCUGAAGGACACGGCCGCGCCGUCCUCCACCCGCUGCUGCUGCUGCUGCUGCUGCUGCUGCUGCUGCUGCUGCUGCACACACAAAGAAUGGAGAGUUGUCACCUGUAAAACUUGGAGAAACGAAGAAUAAAGCACCACCAACUGCUUCAAAGACGAUCUUCGGGCCACCCGCCCUGAAGCCAUGAAUCCCCUUGAAACGCUCGUACGGUUGGUGAGGCAUGAAAUACAAACAAGACAGAAAGAAAGCUUGAUUUAACUCACCGUCUCCGCCGGCCUAUUAGAAUCUUUUAUAAUGCACCACAGUGUUUCUUUCAACGCGUGGACAUCCACUUUUUUGGAGGACUUGUCGUACUGAACCUCAAUCUUGUUCACCUGCAAACAUUUGAAGAUGGAACGUGGACACACAUAGAAAAGUGCCACAGACAGCCAACACCGAGGUGAGAUUCAUCCUAUGCCAAGGAAAAGACUACAAGAUCACAGCGAUGAGAAAGAUGAAGAAAUUUCUCUGAUCAACCAUGCUGGUACGUCAUUUUAAACCGCACCCAAUUAGCAAUUUUAUAAGUGGAAUGCUUAACCAAGGGCAUGACAUUAACCAAAAUUUACGAGAAAAAGAGAGGCCAAUCGGUGCCAUAUAUGGUCGAACUCAGUAUAAUUUUCAAAACUCCGUAAGUUGAACCCGGUUAUUCGUACCAUCUUCCCAAUAAAGUUUCCUUUCCUAUACUUAGACGGAAGCUUUGAUUCAUCUUGCAUGCUCAGGCAAAUAAACCAAGAUGCCUCAUAAAUAUAAGAGAAUAAGAGGCAAGAUCAAAGCAAAGUGAUGAAAGGCAACGCGACCGAACAAACCUGACGUGGCUGAGAGACAAGGCUUCCUGGUUCAUCUAAAUCAUUAAGCAUAUUCUCAUCAUCAUAGUAAUCCUUUGCAACACUCUCAUUGUCCCAAGAUGCCGUUGACUCAUAGGGCUGGUUCCGUUGCAACAAUUCGUCUAAAAAGAAAAAAGAUAACAGCUGGAUUGUCAGACAUUCGUCACUAACUGCGGACUAGUUCAUGCCUAAUAACAGAAUGGAAGAUAGUUUUAGUUCUGAAUAUCAGAAAAAACACGGAGACAAUGAAAAAAAAUAAUUACCGACAAGAAAGGCUACAAUAUGUAUGCACUAGACAAUUGUUAAAGAUUUGAUUGAUGACUACAUCAAUUUACCAAAGCAGUGAAGGGAGCAAUUUAGAACAAACAGAACCCACAUGUCGGCAGGGAGAUUGGUAACCAAUAUCAUAAAUUCAUGAAGAAUAUACUCAAAGGCGCAUUAGCAGUAAAGGUUUAUGCCGUUGACGGCUGGAAAAUAAAAAAUAUAAUCUCAAACAACAUCGUUUUCAUCAGAUAAGUUGGUUUCUUGAUGUGCACCAUUUGAACCAACAAAGGAUUCAUAAAGAUACACCAAUGAAAUGUCUCAGGAAAUGUAGGUUUACCGCAUCUAAUAAAACUUUAUAUUUUCAGAGUAUUUGAGGUAUUAAUAAUAGGCAGCAUCAGAACAAGACAUUUGAAAGCAGAGAAAGAAAACUCUGGUCCUGCCCGGCCGGACUUGGGCACUGUCCGGGUCCAGCCCAGAAAUUCCCCCACUGCUUCCGCCAGCACUCACCCCAACCUCUGAAAACCUCACACCGGUUCAGUUCUCAGGGUUCCAAAUCAGAUUCUGAGUCAGAGUCAACCGAUCAUUUAUAGAAAAUUUCUUGAAGGAGAGACCCAAUUACAGCGUCUGCAAUGUUACACAUGGAAGAACGAGUGCAAGAUUGUAUGAAGAUUCCUUUCGAGUAUCGAGAUAAUCUACUAAAAAAAAAACUUAUCUUUCUUUUAACUGAUUUACUAAUCGCACUAUUCAGCGAUAAUGAAGUUAAACGAUGAAGGAAGAAAUUACCUUUAAAAUUUGCAUCUGAAAUGCAAAGGGAAAGAAGGAACAAUUACUAUUCAUGGUCAAGCACCGCACAGCAUUUUCACAAAUGUUCAAGGUUUCCACUAGCUUGGUAGACGUGCUAUUAAUUUAUCAAAACAUUUAGCAACUGACAUUUAUCACCUAAACAUAAAAGAGAAAUAAACUGAGCCCAGAGUUAUAAAUAUAUCUUCAAUUGAAGUUCUCGUUGGUCAUAAACCAAAUCGUCCACCUUGACAAAGCUGUCACAUAAGCUACACGCCACUUAUCACCUGACAAAACCUGACGUGCAUAUUUAUCUGUUUGGCCAAUAUGUUUACCAUUCUGUAGCCACCCCGAAUCUAAGGAAAACAAAGCAUGAGAGCCAGAGUAAACCAAAUCAUAACGAUACCACAACUAGUAGACUACUACAAGUCACACCAUCAGAUCAUAGCAAUAAUCAGAUUGAAAGUGACUCAAUAGGAGGGGGAAAAUGAUAACGAAACAGUUAUUACGGAAUAAAGAAAGGUACAGGCAAAAGGAAAGGUAAAAGGUGGUUACUAUACUGACAAAAAUUAUACAUUGAUGUGGACUAAGAACGGAAGACGAGGACGUUAAAUCACAAUAGAAAAGUUUCAAUACACAUGAGCCUAGGAUUGAAGGGAAAUCCACUAGAAUGCUGCUUGCAGUAUUUUUGGAUUUAGAAAAUUAUCACGUGGGCAAGGUACCAAUACUUAUAUAUCAGUCCAUCAAGGCAUAAUAAAAUCACAUCUCUAAUCAAAUCAUGCCUACUUUUCCACACCUUUACGCCAAAUAAUACUGCAACUAAUGUAACUGUAUGAAUUCAUUAAAAAAUUCCAUGUGAAUCUUUUAAAAGUUAAAGAUUGUACAAUCAUGUACACGAGCCUAAAGGAAUAGAUUGUUUUACGUGACUAGGCGAAGUGGAGGGACUUGAAAUUUAUUAAGAGGGAAAAAAUGACGUUUGACCAGUCUUAUAUGUCACUAAAAAAAGUAAACGAAAUGAACCAACAUCAGCAGGAUUCUAUAAUCGGUAUUAUAAAUCAUAAAUUUUUAAAGAAUAGUUAACUUACCAGCAGAUUUCCUCAGCUUCUUUCCGAGGCACUGCACAGAUGAAGACAUUCGCUGUCAUUCAACACCAAACAGAGGCAGGAAUCCAAGAAUCAGCGGCACCAUGGCUUACCAAAACAUCAGGACGAAGUAGCAACUUGACAAGGUUCUGUGCUUGAUAAUGGCAAUCCUCUGGUAAUGUAAUACUACACGAACCUCUGUUCGGAGGAAGCAGUAUUGACCUUCGACUUCUAGGAGGAGCAAAGAUGUCGGAAAUCUCCUUAUCAAGUGCCUUAGUAAAAUCAAUAUCAUACGCUUCUUGUUUUUUUUUCUUUACGUUCCUCUUGAUUAAAAAUGAUUCACCAUCAGAAGCAGGAAUCUCAUCUGGAACUACAAAAUUAAUACUGAGAUGAAUGUCUGUAUACACAUAAUCAGAAAAUAGUGAGAUUUUUCAUGCAUAACUUCAGUUCUACCUUUAAUCUUCCGAUACUUCCAGUGAUCAGGACCAGCCCAUGCAUUUGUUUUCGGUGCAAAGCCUAGACCUAGAGCUAAAAAUCCAGCGAUCCUUUCAAAUUUAGGGUCUGCAUCCAGCUCAUGUAAAGUGAAGCUAUUGUUUUCCUGUAGGAAGAAGAGUAUACUUGAAAUACAUGAAUUCAUAAUAAAUAAAUAAAAGUAAACCAUAGAAAAUGACAGUGCGGGUGUACCUCUGGAUCGCCAGCAAAAUUUGCAGCCGUGUAGGAUGAACAUUCAUCGACCACACUACCCUGUUCAUCAUUAUCAAAGCCACAAGCCUCACAGUCAUCAAAUGUGUUACUCUCAAUCUCAUUUUUAAUACUCUCGAACCCAUUCUCAGUACUCUCAAUCCCCUUUUCGUUACCCUCAAAGCCAUGCUUAUUACUCUCUCCCACAUCAUCUCGCCUGUCUGUUCUCUGUGUUGCCACAUAAAUAUCUGUUGGCCUCCGAUUAUCUUCGUCAAACAGACUUAUGAUCUCCCUUAAGGUUGGUGAAAUAUCCUUCUGCAUAGCUAUCGAUGUCAUCAUCUGUGCAAUGCAAUCUAUGAAAAAGGAAUAAAGACACAUGAAAUCCCGACAUAAUCUUAAAUUGGACAUAGAAACAAAACUUCGGCAUUAAGAAAAACGAUGCAUACCUCUGGCGAAGGAAAGGUCAAUGAAGUCUGACUUGUCGGCCUGUAACUUGGAGCACGUAACAUUUGUGGGCGACUCCAAUGAAUCAAAAAGUACUUGACAGUCACCAUAGACCCCAAGGUUAUUCAACAGGAGACCUUUAGCUCCACCUUCAUCAAACUUUGCAGAUGUUUGAUGAUAAAGAGGAUCAACGGUGAAGGCCACUGGAAUUUUAGAUGUAUCAUCAAAAAACUUAACAAAAUAGGAGAGUUGCUUCUAUAAAGAGAGAUGGAUAAGUUACCAUCAAAUUUCUUCACGUUAAGAGCAUCAAAUGAAGAUUCCAACGUCGACAAAGGUGACAUCUGCAUGCAACCGCAUCUGAUAUAGGGACCAAACAUUGCACAGAGCAAAUGAAUCAUUCUGAAUGCUCUAAAAAAACACUCACCUUUCUGUCUGUUCCUUUCUUUUGGUUACCUUCCUGACUGAUCCCCAUACUGUCAACUUCUGGUAUGUUUUCUGAACAGAGGUUUUUUAAUAUUAUCAGCUUCCAAGGUACAAAACAGAAAAUAUUGGCCUAAAAUAAAAAAAUCCAUAAGCUUUUACAUAUGGGUAAAACACAAGGAACAACAUAAAACAAUUCAUGAAACAAAAGUUAUAAUUAUGCACAACAUUUUUUUCUCAGAAAACCUGUGUAAUACGUAGCCAUCACUUAUGUAUAAAAAAUUCUGAAGUAUCAUUAAAUUUCGUUAUUAAUGACAAACGAAUGACCGCAGGCAUGUCUUCUCAUAGACAGUUUCAACAUGUAGCAUGAGUCAAUGAAUAUUAUCACCUAAGUUUUCAGAAGGCAUAAUCCUAAAUUGACAUAACAGGGCAUGUGAUAUUAUCAUCAUCUAAUGUUUUUUACAUUUGAAUGAUAUCAAGUUUACUGAAGCCAACAUCUUACAUUGGAAUAAGCAGUCGCACAAAAUUCUCCUCAACGUAAUCUAGAAUGAAACAGCAUCGAGAUUACAUGGCAGUCAGGCUUCAUCUUUUCCUUUAAGAACCUUAAGAAACAACUAAAUCACUAGAAAAGCAGCCUGCUUCAUCCAGUCAGAAAGUAGUCCAGACUCCCAUGUGGAGACUACCUGUUUUAGCAAAACCAAUUGGAUUUCAGGUAUGCAAUUCUAGUCUACACAUGUAACAUCCUAAAUGACCAUGUUCACGUUAAAGUUUUGAUUUCCAAAUCUGAUGCAACCAAUGAUUUUUAAAAGCACCAGGAUUCUCGCAGCUCUUCUCCAACACAAGGAAUGGUAGAGUCAUUCUUGCUAAUAAGCCCAAGAAGCAGAAGUGGAACAUGGCAAGGCCUCCACUUCUGCACAUUAAAGGGAAACCAUGAAAGAUUUCAAAUGCUAAAAGCACUUGCAGCACGCUUUUCAAUCUAGUGCCUCCAGUACAUUGCACAAUUUAAAAUCUAGCUUUCAAAUUUAUCUACCUCAGAAUCCAACUCAUGGAAUAGGAGAUGGUUCUCGAAAGGAAUGCAACAAUGUGCCGCAGAAGCCUACUUUAGUUCACAUAUAUGCCCAUGAACAACAGUAUCUGGCCAGCAUUUCCCUUUCAGAUCCAUCAGAACCUUUCCCUGUUCAUCAAAAUAUCUAAGACAUCCAACCAAAACCAAGUCAUCGAAGAUGACUCGUACACUUAAACACUCCUUUAGAAUGGAGCUUGAUUCUUAUAAUCUCAACUUAAUCUACAGAAUAUCACACCGCCAAAAGAAAGUGAAGGAAAAAGUUGGAAGGAUUAUCAAAAUUAUUGGAUUAUCCAUUGUCCCCAAUAUAUAUUGAAUGGUUAUCCAUACACAUAACGUAGGCAAUACAAGGCAUAGUAGCCCGACAUAGAUCAAAUGGGAAGGUAUGACCUUUGUCAUCAUCUCUCCCUGCACGGUUGAUACCACCGAGGACUUUGUAUGCCUCUGAAUGCACUGAAUCUACCCGCAAGGAAUAGAUCUUGACCCCUGCUUCCAAAGUGCAGCUUGCCUUCAUCAAAUGAAGAAACAUAAAAAAAAUAAGGAAAAAAAUUAUGAACUGAAAUAAGAACUGACAAAGAUAUAAAACCUUGAUAACCAGAACCUUUUGAAAGUUGGUCUCUGCAUCGUCAUCUGAUUCAACCUUGAUAAUCUCGCUAAGGUGGUCAAUGAGGUUCAGCUCCCAUGUGUUCUUCUGAUUUAUUUUCUGCACAUUGACAAAAAACGAAACGUGAAUAAGAACACAGGACAAAGGGAGAACCCAUUAGACCAAUGCGUUCGAGAAUAGGGGCAUAAAAGGUGAGGAAAUCGUAAGAAUUGUCCCGGCGCAUGGACAAGCAUAUGGCAGCUCGAGCAAUGCUCUUUAAAGUAAAUACGACAAUCAGAUUGCCUCAUGGUGGCACAAGCAGGUGUAGAAGAAAGUAGGGCUGAUCCAUGAAAACUUUAUGAUUGCAUUUACGGGUCAGUUGUUGUACUGAAAUACAAAUACCUUAAAUAAACAGAUAGAAAUAUAAAGAAAGAGCAAGCUAAAUUAAGAUUGAGUUAAGCACGAAGAAAAUGGGUCAGAUUCUAAAGAUCAAAACUAUAGGACUUGAGGAAUGAUGGAAGGGAAUAAAGAAAAGAGGUGAAAAGACAAAAAAAAGUAAAUCCCAACCACUCGUUCUCAGCACCAGCAUUCUUUAACCAAGAAUUAGGCAGAAAAAGUGGGAGAGUUCUCCGCUCUGAUUCUCCUGUAGCUGGAUUCUCCGGAACCACAAGAAUCCUUAUAAAUUUUGGCUUUCAUCAGGGAAGAUGAGGGAUUACGCACAACCAGAGAUGGGGAGUGGAUCCAUUAAUAUCCCAUGAGAAUAAGUCACAUUGAGAUCCCAUGAUACAUUGUAUACUCUGAGGUUAUCGAUAAUACUCAAUGCAUUUGUUCUGAUAUCCUAUCAAAGUAUGGCGUAGCCCAACUCAAAACAAAUUCGGAUCCCUUCAUUUUCCACGUUUACUCAUCAAGCGGUGUGAUUCUCUCUACAUGCUGGAGCUAAGCAGCAAGCACAUGAACUUAACCACAGCCUUUUCUUCUCCCUAAAAAUUCGGUAGUAUUCUAACACAACCCCGAGCAACAAAUGGUUGAGAAAGAAGAACGACGCAUAUGAUUGCUAAAGGUUGGAGGGAAAUUUUGAAAGGUGCAUUAUCAUCGAAGAGCUUGAUCCUGUAAGAAUAAAAAAAGGGUAUGCAUACAGAUAGAUGCUUCUGGAGCAUAAGAGAAAUUUUGAACUAGAAUCAGUGAUAAGAAAAGUCAGGAAAUUUGGAGGCGAAAAUUCUGAAUUCAGUAAGGAAUUUCUACUACAGACAGAGGGAGUAUCCAAGGUCUGAAGAUCAAGCGGCGUUGAAAACACUUGUCCCUGUCAGAAAGCGAUUCAGACAGAACCGGAACAAAAAAACACAAUUACAGACCAGAAGCAAGAAAUCAGGGAUCAUAGCAUGGGAAGAAGACAAAAGAUAAAGAAGAUUGGUUACAUUCUCGCUGGCAAGCUUGAUACAGUUGUGGAAGAGCUCCGUGAUCUGCUCCUUCCCGAGGACGUCCGAUCUCGGGUGAGCGUCGAUGCCAUGGGUAACGGCAACGAUGGGCUUCCGCCUUAUGGCAGCGGCACGGGCAGCCCGGGCCUGGGCGCGCUCGAGCUGGUCGUCGUUGGACCCGAGGAAGUGAAGCGCGUUCUGGUGGACGGCCGCCGACGCCGACACCGGCGACUUGAGCAGCCGCGCCGCCGCCCUUCUCGGCGACAACAAUUGCUCGUCCUCCACCUCGCCGAAGCCCUCCGUCAUGGCCUCGUCGCGGGCGAAAUGGGGCGAGUGCAAGAUCUGAGGCUCCCCUCUCCCUCUCUCUCUCUCUCUCUCUCGCUCUCCCGCUCCCCCCCUCCCCAAACCCAGGGAAGCCCUUCGCGCGACGGGCACACCCCCUUGCCUCUUGUCCCGCCCUGGGAAGUCUUUUGAAUUUCGUGAAGGGACUUUUGCAAAAAGGCCCCUAACCGAAAUAUACAUGGACGGUAGGGACCUUCAGAGGUGCACUUUCACACGCCCCACCGUCUCAAGGGUCAGACAACAAGACUCGAGAUCCCAAGGGAGCCAUCUCGAAAUAUGAAAGAUCCACGCCGCCCAUCCGCGAACCCUCCCGGCUCUAAUGGGCCGGCCCCUCGGCCCGCUUAAGCGCGGGCCCAAUUCACCCCCCAUUAACACUUAAAAAUACCGUUUUUAUAUCCUCUCGAACCAUAUUCCUACAUCGAUUCGUUCAUUCAAAUUCCAUCACGGAGGAACAGACCCAGAAUGGCCACGUCCCGGAGCCGACUGGGCCAAGAAGGAGAUGAGGAGAUCCACGUGGCAGAGCACCCCAAAAGAGAAAAAUAGAGAAAAAAGAAGAAAAAAGGAAAAAAGAAGAAG